CCUGGGAUAGCACAGUCGGUAGAGUAUGAGACCCUUAAUCUCAGGGUCGUGGGUUCAAACCUCACGUUGGGGG